AAAUAUGAAGUGAAAUCACAUUCAGUUUCGACCUGAAUUUUAGUAUUAAAUUACUCUUAUUUA
rnacentral:tRNA from 1 species